rnacentral:rRNA from 1 species
GUAAUGCGUAGGAAGCUACCCGAUAGAGGGGGAUACCAGUUGGAAACGACUGUUAAUACCGCAUAAUGUCUACGGACCAAAGUGUGGGACCUUCGGGCCACAUGCUAUCGGAUGCGCCUACGUGGGAUUAGCUAGUUGGUGAGGUAAUGGCUCACCAAGGCGACGAUCUCUAGCUGGUUUGAGAGGAUGAUCAGCCACACUGGAACUGAGACACGGUCCAGACUCCUACGGGAGGCAGCAGUGGGGAAUAUUGGACAAUGGGCGCAAGCCUGAUCCAGCCAUGCCGCGUGUGUGAAGAAGGCCUUAGGGUUGUAAAGCACUUUCAGCGAGGAGGAAGGGGUUGUAGUUAAUAGCUGCAAUCUUUGACGUUACUCGCAGAAGAAGCACCGACUAACUCUGUGCCAGCAGCCGCGGUAAUACAGAGGGUGCAAGCGUUAAUCGGAAUUACUGGGCGUAAAGCGCACGCAGGCGGUUGGUUAAGUCAGAUGUGAAAGCCCCGGGCUCAACCUGGGAAUUGCAUUUGAAACUGGCCAACUAGAGUAUGUGAGAGGGGGGUAGAAUUCCAAGUGUAGCGGUGAAAUGCGUAGAGAUUUGGAGGAAUACCAGUGGCGAAGGCGGCCCCCUGGCACAAUACUGACGCUCAGGUG